AUUGAACGCUGGCGGCAGGCUUAACACAUGCAAGUCGAGCGGGGGAAGGUAGCUUGCUACCGGACCUAGCGGCGGACGGGUGAGUAAUGCUUAGGAAUCUGCCUAUUAGUGGGGGACAACAUCUCGAAAGGGAUGCUAAUACCGCAUACGUCCUACGGGAGAAGGCAGGGGAUCUUCGGACCUUGCGCUAAUAGAUGAGCCUAAGUCGGAUUAGCUAGUUGGUGGGGUAAAGGCCUACCAAGGCGACGAUCUGUAGCGGGUCUGAGAGGAUGAUCCGCCACACGGGGACUGGAACACGGCCCAGACUCCUACGGGAGGCAGCAGUGGGGAAUAUUGGACAAUGGGGGGAACCCUGAUCCAGCCAUGCCGCGUGUGUGAAGAAGGCCUUAUGGUUGUAAAGCACUUUAAGCGAGGAGGAGGCUACUCUAGUUAAUACCUAGGGAUAGUGGACGUUACUCGCAGAAUAAGCACCGGCUAACUCUGUGCCAGCCGCCGCAGUAA
rnacentral:rRNA from 1 species